GGCACGCCUAACACAUGCAAGUCGAACGCAGUAGCAAUACUGAGUGGCAAACGGGUGAGUAUAAUGUGGGAAUCUGCCUUUUGGUUUGGAAUAACACGGGGAAACUUGUGCUAAUACCGAAUAAGCCCUUACGGGGAAAGUUUUAACGCCGAAAGAUGAGCCCGCACUUGAUUAGCUAGUUGGUAAGGUAAAAGCUUACCAAGGCAACGAUCAAUAGCUGUUCUUAGAGGAAGACCAGCCACAUUGGGACUGAGACACGGCCCAGACUCCUACGGGAGGCAGCAGUGGGGAAUCUUGCACAAUGGGGGAAACCCUGAUGCAGCGAUGCCGCGUGAGUGAAGAAGGCCCUUGGGUUGUAAAACUCUUUCGUCGGGGAAGAAAAUGACUGUACCCGAAUAAGAAGGUCCGGCUAACUUCGUGCCAGCAGCCGCGGUAAUACGAAGGGACCUAGCGUAGUUCGGAAUUACUGGGCUUAAAGAGCUCGUAGGUGGUUAAAAAAGUUGAUGGUGAAAUCCCAAGGCUCAACCUUGGAACUGCCAUCAAAACUUUUUAGCUAGAGUGUGAUAGAGGUAAGUGGAAUUUCUAGUGUAGAGGUGAAAUUCGUAGAUAUUAGAAAGAACACCAAAUGCGAAGGCAACUUACUGGGUCACUACUGACACUGAGGAGCGAAAGCAUGGGUAGCGAAGAGGAUUAGAUACCCUCGUAGUCCAUGCCGUAAACGAUGAGUGCUAGACGUUGGAAAUAUAUUUUUCAGUGUCGCAGCGAAAGCAUUAAGCACUCCGCCUGGGGAGUACGAC
rnacentral:rRNA from 1 species